rnacentral:rRNA from 1 species
UAAAAAUAGUUUAAUAAUUUAAUUAUCUCGAAUUAUAAAGAGCUAAUAUGGUAUAUAUUUAACUGUAGCAUAAUUUUUUAUAAUACAAUAUUAGAAAUGAAACGUUAGUCGUUUUUUAAGAUAUCUAGUUUUUUAAGAAAUAAAUUUAAUUUAGUUAGUUAAGUAUUUUGUGUUUCAUAGUUAAUAGGAAGUCUUGGCUAAGCAAUAUUUUAAGGGAUAAGCUUUAAAAUAGAAGUUUAAAAUAAAUAUGAAGAUAUAGGGAAAAAAUGUAGGAUUGGAAAUUUUUAUCUUUAGUUUGUUAUAAUUAGGUUUUUUUAUAUUAAGAUUUAUAUAGAGUUUAAAUUUUUUAUUAAAAUAAGUUAUUGAAUAGGGGUAUAUUUGUAAUUAUGAUAAAAUUAGUAUAGAUUAUUGUAAAAAGAAAUUGUAUAAGAUAGGUUAAGUUAAGGAACUCGGCAAAUAUAUUUUUCGCCUGUUUAUUAAAAACAUGUCUUUUUGAUUAUAAUUUAAAGUCUGACCUGCCCAAUGAGGAGUUAAAUGGCCGCGGUAAUUUGACCGUGCAAAGGUAGCAUAAUCAUUAGUUUUUUAAUUGAAAGCUGGUAUGAAUGGUUGGACGAGAGAAUAGCUGUCUCAAUUUAAUUGUAAUAGAAUUUUAAUUUUAAGUUAAAAUGCUUAAAUGUGUUUAAAAGACGAGAAGACCCUAUAGAGUUUUAUAUAAGAUAGUAUGUGUAAAUAUAGGAAUUUAUAGAAUUAUAUAUACAUAGGUUAUAUUUUGUUGGGGCGACAGAAAAAUUAAAGGAACUUUUUUUUGGUAAAAUCAUUAAUGUAUGAGUAAGUGAUCCGUUAUUUACGAUUAUAAGAUUAAAUUACCUUAGGGAUAACAGCGUUAUUUUUUUUGAGAGUUCAAAUCGAAAAAAGAGUUUGCGACCUCGAUGUUGGAUUAAAAUUUAUUUUUGGUGUAGGGGCUAGAAUAUUAGGUCUGUUCGACCUUUGAAAUUUU